rnacentral:lncRNA from 1 species
GAUGGGGUUGUAAAAGAGUUUUCAAGUGUUGAAUAAAAAACGUGUGGUGUCUGCAACUAUCUUUGCUUCCUAUCUUAUGAUUGUUUCUUUGCGUAUUAUUUGGACUGUGUGGUGUUGUCUGCAAAAGCUUUUCUUCCAGGUGGAUGUUGGAUGACAUUGGAGUUGAUUUUAAGCUUGUCUUUAACAGAGAUCCAGAGGCCCAAUCUGAGCUGGACUUGUCAAACGUUACUUUGGAGGUGAUGCAGCCUGUCACAAAGGGAUUGAGCCGCAAAAGAGACCCGCCCCCAAUGAGUGUGUCCUGUUUUGAGAGACAGCUUGAGCAUCUGACGGAAGAAGCAGAAGCAGAAGCAGAGCCUGAUGUAUUGCAGGAUUCCUCUGCCUCAAACAGGUAGAAAUAAUCCCUUUCAUGAUGCACACUCAGAGCCGCUGGAGGAUGAUAUGACAUUGGGAUGUUCCUUUUAAGUCUUUCAGUGAUGGAAAAAUCCUAAAAUCAUAUUUACGAAGGGUGUUUUUUUCUUAGACUCUUUUCUCUUAACUUGGCUAAUGGCACAAUGAUCAGGUGCAACUAAUAAAGUCCAGAUUUAUGAAUGGUGAUUAUCCA